CAAACUUGAGAGUUUGAUCCUGGCUCAGAACGAACGCUGGCGGCAUGCCUAACACAUGCAAGUCGAACGAGCUCUUCGGAGCUAGUGGCGCACGGGUGCGUAACGCGUGGGAACCUGCCCUUAGGUUCGGAAUAACUCCUCGAAAGGGGUGCUAAUACCGGAUAAUGUCUUCGGACCAAAGAUUUAUCGCCUUUGGAUGGGCCCGCGUUGGAUUAGCUAGUUGGUGGGGUAAUGGCCCACCAAGGCGACGAUCCAUAGCUGGUCUUAGAGGAUGAUCAGCCACACUGGGACUGAGACACGGCCCAGACUCCUACGGGAGGCAGCAGUGGGGAAUAUUGGACAAU
rnacentral:rRNA from 1 species